rnacentral:rRNA from 1 species
CGUAGGCGGGCGAUCGAGUCCGGGGUGAAAGCCCCCAGCUUAACUGGGGAAGGGCCUUGGAUACUGGUCGUCUGGAGGGAGGUAGGGGCGUGUGGAACUUCCGGUGGAGCGGUGAAAUGCGUAGAGAUCGGAAGGAACGCCGGUGGCGAAAGCGACGCGCUGGACCUCUUCUGACGCUGAGGCGCGAAAGCCAGGGGAGCAAACG